UUGAGGAGUGUAAAGAAGGGUUAAAAGUCCCCGGGGUCCUGGCUCCCAGAGAUAUGUGCAUGGGAAAGAUGCGUCUAUAUGCACAAUGAUGGCAGUGUUCACACUGAAGACAGUGCCACGUGCCCAGCCUUUCUGCAGCUAUGGUUUCCGUGUCACUUUGUAAAUUCAGUUUCUGAAAGGUGAUUCAUCCUUCAAAGCGAGUCUGGCAGUAGGACCGCCAUAGGCCACAGGUGAUUUGCUUGUGUGGUUCGAAGGGGAGCAAAGUCCAGAUUGCCUGGAGGAGCCCAGGUCAGCUCGGGGAAGGAUGUCCUGUAGUGUGACUGCAGGAGACAUACCCACAGUGAGUAGCUGGGCCCAUGGCCGAGGAAUAGAGCUUACAGUGUCCUGAAGACAGGAAUGGAGAAGAGACCCCACUGUCCUGCAGACCAAAAGCAGGGCUGAAUUGGAUGUGGAGGAGUUGGGGUGGGAGGAGCAGAACCAGGUUCAUGAUUGACCCAUAGGAAGCAAACUCCCUUCCGAGUGGUGAUCAGGGCAGGGGACAGGGGCCCCCAGGAGCUUAAAGCAGCCAGACACCAUGGGUGUGUGUAUACAGCUUCUUUUGAACAAAACAGAGUUCUCUAGCACAACUGAUAAUAUCAAUAGCAUUAAAUAGCAAAGUAUCUAGUCUCAUAGGAUAAGAUUUCAAAAA
rnacentral:lncRNA from 1 species